GUGGGAAUCUUCCGCAAUGGACGAAAGUCUGACGGAGCGACGCCGCGUGAGUGAUGAAGGCCCUUGGGUCGUAAAGCUCUGUCAUCAGGGACGAACGGUCACGUCAGGAAAUGGGCGUGAAUUGACGGUACCUGAGAAGGAAGCCACGGCUAACUACGUGCCAGCAGCCGCGGUAAUACGUAGGUGGCGAGCGUUGUCCGGAAUUAUUGGGCGUAAAGCGCGCGCAGGUGGGAUCUUAAGUCUGUUCUGAAAGUUCGGAGCUUAACUCCGUGAUGGGAUGGAAACUGGGAUUCUUGAGUAUCGGAGAGGAAAGCGGAAUUCCCCGUGUAGCGGUGAAAUGCGUAGAUAUGGGGAGGAACACCAGUGGCGAAGGCGGCUUUCUGGACUGUAACUGACACUGAGGCACGAAAGCGUGGGGAGCAAACAGGAUUAGAUACCCUGGUAGUCC
rnacentral:rRNA from 1 species